GUACACUCCUGCGGGAGGCAGCAGUGGGGAAUAUUGCACAAUGGGCGCAAGCCUGAUGCAGCCAUGCCGCGUGUAUGAAGAAGGCCUUCGGGUUGUAAAGUACUUUCAGCGGGGAGGAAGGCAAUACGGUUAAUAACCGUGUUGAUUGACGUUACCCGCAGAAGAAGCACCGGCUAACUCCGUGCCAGCAGCCGCGGUAAUACGGAGGGUGCAAGCGUUAAUCGGAAUUACUGGGCGUAAAGCGCACGCAGGCGGUCUGUCAAGUCGGAUGUGAAAUCCCCGGGCUCAACCUGGGAACUGCAUUCGAAACUGGCAGGCUUGAGUCUUGUAGAGGGGGGUAGAAUUCCAGGUGUAGCGGUGAAAUGCGUAGAGAUCUGGAGGAAUACCGGUGGCGAAGGCGGCCCCCUGGACAAAGACUGACGCUCAGGUGCGAAAGCGUGGGGAGCAAACAGGAUUAGAAACCCUAGUAGUCCCAUGAU
rnacentral:rRNA from 1 species